GCGUCGAGCCCCACGUGCAAGACC
rnacentral:miRNA from 15 species